ensembl:lncRNA
AAGUGCUUUGUUUGUUGUUUUGGUUGCCGUUUUUUUUGGUUUUUCUGUGUGUGUGUGGGGGGGGGGGGGGGGGAAUAAUAAAAUGUUGUGUUUCCGAAAGAAGUGUAGUAUUUUGGAGAGAAAAUGUUUUGUUUUCGUUUGAAAGGUGGUAUUUUGUGGGAGAUGAUGCUUAACUGUGGGGCGAAAAGUAGGAUCUGGGGGAGAAAAUCCACUUCUGGGGGGAAAGAAUAGGACAUUUUCUCCCCCAAGUACCCCUUGUCUCACCGAAACAAGACUCUUUCUCCACUAAAUACCACUGCUCUCCACAAAACAUGACUUCUCGCCUGCCAAAUACAAAGCUGUUUGCUUUCCAAAAAGACGACGUUUCCUUCGCGCGCUCCCUUUUUUCUCCACAACAUGCAAAUUCUCUCUCCAAAACAGGACAGUUUCUCCCCCAAACGCUACUUUUCUCCAGAACAUAGGGCCCUUCCUUCGCGCAUCAUGCCACAUUUCUCCUGAAAAUAUACAGCUCUUCCUUGCAAAAUACCACUUUUCUCCCAAAGACAUGACCAUUUUUCUUCCCACACCAUACCACUCUUCUCCAAAACUACGAUCUCUCCUCUCAAAAACGCCACUUUUCUCCCAAAAAUACGACCGUUUCUUCCCCUCGGGACCUCUUUUCUCCUCCAUAGAUGAGACUUUCUCGACCCAAAUCUCACUUUCGUCAAGAAAAGAAGGCAUUUUCCCG